UUGAAUCAAAUGAAUCAUUUCAAUUGACCGUAAUGGGAACGUGAAUAUUUUACUGUUGCUGCUGCUUCUCCUGCUUCUAUUCUUUUUGUGCCGACUGCGAUUCGGUGCUUCCGUAUUAGCUGGCAUUUUGAUUCAGCAAAUCUGGCGAUACUUCCUUGUCUGAGUGCGAAAUCUAUCGUUACAAUCCGGACUCUAAUGUGAACCCAUUUAUGUAGAAGAAGAAGAAGAAGAAGAAGAAGAAGAAGAAGAAGAAGAAGAAGAAGAAGAAGAAGAAGAAGAAGAAGAAGAAGAAGAAGAAGAAGAAGAAGAAGAAGAAGAAGAUGGGCAACUCUCAAUCACCUUCGACUUCUGAUCCUCGCUACGAGGUUCCUCUCUUUCUCUGUAAGGUAAUAAUAUGUUUUGUUUUCUCGUCGCAAUCUCACACAAAGCUCCGAUUCGAUUCACUGCACAUCUAUUUUCAUCUAGUGAAUUGGACGACCACUGUUAUUCCCAAGGUAAGGUGUCUAGUUAUUUCGAUGGCCUCUGGAUCCCUUAGGAAUUAGUGCUUUGAUGCGGAAAUGGAUAUUUGUGGUGUAGAGUGCUUACGAGAAGGACAGCAAAGAUGAAAUUGAAGAGUUUAUCUAUCAGUUACUUGAUGUAAAUGGAGAUGGUGAUGUGGAUAGGUACUGCUCCGGGGGAAAAAGCUAUUCGGGAUCAAGAAUUUGUUGUGCUGUGUGACUAAGGAAGUUAAAGCUUUUACUUCCGAUCAUCGGAAUUAAGUAAUUUUGCUACUGUUUUGUUGGUAUUCUGCUGAUUCCCACUAUUUUCUCUUGCAAAAUUGUUGAUGAAUGAUGACUGCUCAGACAUCUCACUUUUGAGGGAGAUGAGCGAGCGACA
rnacentral:lncRNA from 1 species